rnacentral:rRNA from 1 species
CAGCCGCCGCGGUAAUACGAGGGGGGCAAGCGUUGUUCGGAAUCAUUGGGCGUAAAGGGUGCGUAGGCGGUUUGAUAAGUCAUCUGUGAAAUCUCUGGGCUCAACCCAGAGUCUGCAGGCGAAACUGUCGGGCUUGAGUAUGGGAGAGGUGAGUGGAAUUUCCGGUGUAGCGGUGAAAUGCGUAGAUAUCGGAAGGAACACCUGUGGCGAAAGCGGCUCACUGGACCAUUACUGACGCUGAGGCGCGAAAGCUAGGGGAGCAAACAGGAUUAGAUACCCCAGUAGUCCCUGUCUCUUAUAC